rnacentral:misc_RNA from 1 species
UUUUGAUUCUUUAAACUUUAGACUUCAGGUCCUAAGAUCCAAUUAAUCUUUUCUGUUUUAUCUUAUUGAUUUCCCUGCAGAAUUUUAUUAAGUUACCAUUUUCUUCUCGUUAGAACUCUUAUAUCACCAUAAAAGAAUUCUACUCGGUCCUUUGAUUUUCUUUUCUUAAAGUAGAGACAACCAAAAAUAGAUAAAAGAACACAAACUUCUAGUCGAUUGAGUCUAUCUAGCUUCAACCAUUUGGCAAUUGGCAUGGCUGACCAGAGGCUUUGUUUCUGCAAAAAGAUAUGAUAUAGCUGUUCAAAAUUUUACUUCCUGUUGUUUAUUUUCCCUUAAAUUGAUUGGCAACUUUGGCAAGAUUUGGGUGUAUUGUUCUUGGCAUCUAUUGGCUGGAUGUUCAGUCAGAGUGCUCGUUUCUGAUUUGGCAUUAUAGAUGUUUUGGUGGAUUUACAAGAUUUAUGAUAUUUAAUUGUCAAUUGUGUAGGGGCAGACCCAAAAUAUAGCAGCAAAGGUGGAUAUGAUCCAAGUGGAUCUAGCAGCAAGGUCUCGUCUGUCACGGUGCCUUCAACUCCUCGGACAGAGGGUGAGAUCUUACAGUCUUCCAAUUUGAAGAACUUUAGUUUUGGUGAACUGAGGGCAGCCACUAGGAACUUCCGUCCGGAUAGUGUGCUGGGUGAAGGAGGAUUUGGUUGUGUUUACAAAGGAUGGAUUGAUGAGCAUUCUCUAACACCUGUCAGGCCUCGAACCGGCAUGGCCAUUGCUGUGAGGAGGCUUAACCAAGAGGGCGUCUGGGGUCAUCAGGAAUGGCUGACGGAAAUCUUCUUUCUCGAGCAGCUUCAUCAUCCAAAUAUUGUGAAAUUGAUUGGAUACUGCUUAGAAGAUGACCAUCGGCUUCUGGUUUAUGAGUUCAUGCCAAGGGGCAGCUUGGAGAAUCACCUCUUUAGAAGAUCUAAUGUUCAACCGCUCUCUUGGAACCUCCGAAUUAAGAUUUCCCUUGAUGCUGCUAGGGGUCUAUCAUUUCUUCAU